UACGUAGGGUGCAAGCGUUUGUCCGGAAUUAUUGGGCGUAAAGAGCUCGUAGGCGGUUUGUCGCGUCUGCUGUGAAAACCCGAGGCUCAACCUCGGGCCUGCAGUGGGUACGGGCAGACUAGAGUGCGGUAGGGGAGAUUGGAAUUCCUGGUGUAGCGGUGGAAUGCGCAGAUAUCAGGAGGAACACCGGUGGCGAAGGCGGGUCUCUGGGCCGAUACUGACGCUGAGACGCGAAAGCGUGGGGAGCAAACAGG
rnacentral:rRNA from 1 species